rnacentral:misc_RNA from 1 species
AACUUUCGGCAACGGAUCUCUUGGCUCUUGCAUUGAUGAAGAACGCAGCGAAAUGCGAUAAGUAAUGUGAAUUGCAGAAUUCAGUGAAUCAUCGAAUCUUUGAAUGCACCUUGCACCCUUUGGCAUUCCGAAGGGUAUGCUCGUUUGAGUGUCAUUGUACUCUCACACUCCUGAUGCUUUUGGAUUGGGAGUGGUGGACUUGGGUGUUGCUGCUUUACUGUGGCUUACCUCAAAUGGAGUAGUGCAACUCUUGGUUGGACAUAGUACGGCGUGAUAAGUGUCUUCGCCAGCGCCUCAUUAGAGGGUGGCCGAUUGGGAGCUCUGUGCUUCAAACCAUCUUCAGACAACAUCUGACAACUUGACCUCAAAUUGAGUAGGACUACCUGCUGAACUUAAGCAUAUCAAUAAGCGGAGGCU